rnacentral:rRNA from 1 species
AUGCAAGUCGAGGGGCAGCAUGGGGGUUGCUUGCAAUCCCUGAUGGCGACCGGCGGAAGGGUGCGUAACGCGUGAGCGACAUGCCCGUUGCCCGGGGACAACCGGUGGAAACGCCGACUAAUCCCCGAUGGGACGGAGGCCCUCAUGGGUCUCUGUUGAAAGUUACGGCGGCGACGGAUUGGCUCGCGUCCGAUUAGCUAGUUGGCGGGGUAACGGCCCACCAAGGCUACGAUCGGUAGGGGUUCUGAGAGGAAGGUCCCCACAAUGGAACUGAGACACGGUCCAUACUCC